rnacentral:rRNA from 1 species
AUGGCCAUCUACACCGGAAUAAACAAGACGCCAUUGACGAAAUUUUGCAGAAUCAUGUUUCUCAAACAAACGAGGGUUCAUCUUCAAGUCCACGCUCAGUACACUUUCUUCCGUGACCGGCGAGGUCGGAACUCAUAUACACUUCCUGACCGACAAGGCGGGAUACAUCACGUUCGUGACCGACGGGGCCGAACUAUCCAUUUUGUUUCUUUGAGACUUGAUCUACAUCCCAUGUUUGAUUGGUGCAUGACAUUCAUGAAUUUCUGGCAUGUCGAGAAUUUAUGUUUCUCAUCGAGUGCUUGCAUGUUUUGUGCCUUGGAGACAGAAGCCAUGAGUUUGAUAAUGAUGAUGACCAUUUGA